ACUUCCGGGAAGGGGCGGAAGAGGUGGGCUGGUGGAGGCGGGGUCGAGAUGGCGGCGCCUUUGAGGAUUCAGAGCGACUGGGCGCAAGCCCUCAGGAAGGAUGAAGGGGAGGCCUGGCUGAGCUGUCAUCCCCCAGGUAAUACCCAUAAAUUAUAUAUGCUGUCACUUUAAAGGAGAAGGAUUAAUACCCUUAAAAGAAAGCUUCCUACUUUCUCCUGGCCCAGCCUCCUUACAUAAUAGUCUGCAAACAUGCUUGACCAGUCUGUACUGUAUGGCCAACACCCCAAAUCCUCCGUUCCAAGGGAAGGCCUUCAGAUUGAUUUUCCAUUUGAAAGCCACAGACUUAUUCAUGGAGACAUUGUUGAUGCAUCUUAAUUAGUCACUUACCCUGUGCUAUUGUAUUCUAAGCACUUCUGCAGCUUCAACUGGGACUUUCUUGAUGAUAAUUUCUAGAUCUACAGCCCCAGCCCUGACUUCUCCAUGUUCAAGCAGAGAUUGAUCAGUUGUUUGCUAGAUAUUUCUGCUUAAAGGUCUCACUGUCACCUUAAGUUGCUGGACUUACUGAAGUCCAAAACCAAGCUGAGUACAUUUGUUGUCAAGUGAGUUCUCUUUCCUGAUUUUUCUCAUUUCUUAAGUUACCAUCAUUUUUCUAGGCAUCAGAGUGAAAAACCUAGUUACUUGACCCUGCCAUAUCCAGGAAGCUCCCAAGUCUUAUCAGUUUUUCUUUUGAACAACAGUCUUAUAUCAUUCACAGGAUUCUUUUCAAAUUGUAACCGAGGUGGUACCAUUCUAAAACAAAUCAACCUUCCUUCUAAAUUCUGUAAGAAAGUUUUGUUUUGCUGAUUAUCUUUCAUUUCAAAUGCUGCUGGUAUAUUGUAUUUCUAUGAGAAAUAAAGUUUUGGCCAGGCACAGUGGCUCACACCUGUAAUCCUAGCACUUUGGGAAGCUGAGGCAGGAGGAUCACUUGAGCUCAGGAGUUCGAGACCAGCCUGGGCAACAAAGUGAGACCCCCCCCCCAUCUCUAUAAAAAGUAAAAAAAAUUAGUCAGGCCUGGUGGCAUGCGCCUGUAGUCCCAGCUACUUGGGAGGCUGCAAUAGGAGGAUCUCUUGAGCCUGGGAGGUUGAGGCUGCAGUGAGUUAUGAUCGAACCAUUGCACUUUUGCCUGGGUGACAGAGUGAGACCCCAUCAUUAAAAAAAAAAAAAGACUGUUGUUUAUAUCAGUGGAAUAAAGGAUGGACUUUAUAGUGCUGUGACUUGCCAAUCAUCUUAAAAAUAAGGCCAGACGUGGGGGCUCAUACCUGUCAUCCACCAUUCUGGGAGGCCAAGGCGGAGGAUUGCUUGAGACCAGCCUGGGAGACAUAGGGAGACCUCGUGUCUACAGCAAAUAAAACUAGCUGGGCAUGGUGUUGGGUGUCUGUAGUCCCAGCUACUCAAGAGGCAGAGGUGGGAGGAUUGCUCAAGCCCAGCAAGUCAAGACUGCAGUGAGCUGUGAUUAUGCUACUGGACCUCCUACCCUGGACAAGGGUAGCCGUGAUCAUGCUACGUGGUCUCCUACCCUGGACCAGAAAGUGAGACCCUGGCUCUAAAAAAAGAAACACACACACAAAUACACAAAUAUAUAUAUAUACACACACACAUAUACAUAUGUAUACUUAACAUAAAAAUUCAAGGAAAAUACUGUAUUUUAUUUUACCUAUUUUAUUGUGCUUAAUUAUGUUCAAAAAUCCUAUUCUAACUGCUUGAGCUAGGAUCGUGCCACUGUACUUCAGCCUGAGAGACAGAGCAAAACCCUGUCUCAGUUAAAAAAAAAAAAAAAAAAAAAAAGCCAGAUGCGGUGGCUCUACUAGAAAAAAAUACAAAAAAUUAGCCGGAUGUGGUGGUGGGCCCCUGUAGUCCCAGCUACUCGGGAGCCUGAGGCAGGAGAAUGGAGUGAACCUGGGAGGCGGGGCUUGCAGUGAGACCAGAUAGUGCCACCGCAUUCCAGCUUGGAUGACUGAGCAAGACUCUGUCUCAAAAAAAAAA
rnacentral:sRNA from 1 species